AGUGAACGCUGGCGGUAGGCCUAACACAUGCAAGUCGAACGGCAGCACAGUAAGAGCUUGCUCUUACAGGUGGCGAGUGGCGGACGGGUGAGGAAUACAUCGGAAUCUACUUUUUCGUGGGGGAUAACGUAGGGAAACUUACGCUAAUACCGCAUACGACCUACGGGUGAAAGUAGGGGAUCUUCGGACCUUGCGCGAUUGAAUGAGCCGAUGUCGGAUUAGCUAGUUGGCGGGGUAAAGGCCCACCAAGGCGACGAUCCGUAGCUGGUCUGAGAGGAUGAUCCGCCACCCUUGAACUGAGGCACGGUCCCGGCUCCCUAGGGGAGCCGCCGUGGGGGAUAUUUGACCAUUGGCGCCAACCUGGUCCAGCCAUACCGCGUGGGUGAAGAAGGCCUUCGGGUUGUAAAGCCCUUUUGUUGGGAAAGAAAAGCAGCAGGUUAAUACCCCGCUGUUCUGACGGUACCCAAAGAAUAAGCACCGGCUAACUUCGUG
rnacentral:rRNA from 1 species